GAGAAUUCAGUUUAGUGCUACUUUUAAAAUAACUAUAUAAAAUAUAUAGUUUCCGGUUAUGUAGUAUUAUGAAUAAAUAUUUUCGAGAUAUCGCUGUUCUUUUUUACAAAUGAUAUUAUUUUUAAUUAAAUUUGCCUGCGCAGUGAUAAGCAUUUAAAAGCUAUUGGAGUGGUUCGAUUGCGCUUCAGCUUUACGUCAAGUCUUAUCUGGCCGCAAAUUAUACCUUUCUGAAAGGCGCUUAUACAGUCAAUCGUCUGAUAAUGCUGACGUACCGGCGUUCGCGGAAGAAACGUGUCUGUGUUAUUUUAAUUAUAGAAUACAAAUAAUUAUGGGAUAAUAAAGUGAUCAGCCUAAAUUAACUAAACAUCAUGCCAAUGAUCCGGAAGCUUCUAUUAAAACUGUGUACAAGGGGAAAAGCCGGCGAACAGUAGGCCUACAUGUCACCGAGAAGUGGGGCAGUAGGCAAAAGCUUGGAACGCAAUCACAAGAACUUGCAGAAGUUCAGAUUGAGAAUGAGAAACCAGAAACAAACUUAAUUGCUAACUGUACUACAAAUAGCAGUUCAGUAUCAGACGUAGAUACUUCGGUUACAUUUGAUGAAAAUAUAAGAUACGAUACUGAAAAGGCCAAACGUCUUGAAGAAUGGAAAAGUAUAUCUCCAGAAAUUAUGUCUGCUUAUGUACAAAUGCAGACACCCAAUAAGCGACAAUGUGCUGAUUGUUGUCUCUCCACAGAUGAACUGUACAGGUGUUGUGAUUGCUGUUCAUGGGAGACUACGUGCCUCACAUGCUUGCGGUUGAGGCAUAAACAUCCUCAUCUGCAUUUGGAAGAACAUGGCUUACCUUUCUUUCAUUGAUGAUGAUGAGGCUUGGAAAUUGAAUGACCAUUCCUGUAGCACUACUUACCUGAAAAAACUCGUGGUCGUGGAUGAUAAAGGUCGACAGCAUUUGAAGACCCUGCAAUUUUGCAAGUGUGAAGUUGAAGCCGUACGCUUGAUUAGGUUCAACUUGUGGCCAUCUUCAACCAAAUUUCCAAACGUGGCAUUUCACUUUGACUUCAUGCGCUGGUUAUGUGGUCUUCUUCUUGAAAGCUCGGUGUCAUUUAAAAGUUUCUGCUCCGCAUUAGACGCGUGGACAUCAAAGCACAUGAAGACAAAUAUUCAUCACCCUGUCAAAGAUUUGUACAAAGUGCUUGUAGGAGGAACAGCCGAUGAAUUUCGACAUUUUAUCUACCAAAUGGAAAACAUCCACGAUGAUGGAUCCAAAUGUCCAGCUUGUUAUGAGGAUUCUCCCUCCCUGAUAAGCUUGCUAGAGCGGAGGAUAUAGAAAAAAAAGCAAGGAGGCUCUUCAAGAAAUUUUGGAACCUUUUGCAGGAGUAACAACUGAAUGUCUACAGGAAUGGAUAGAUUAUGAGCGGGUUGUGUGUAUCCGCAGCAAAUCAACUGAAAAUCACUCCUUGUCACCUGCUGAAGAGUAUUGUCUAGUCCUGGAGGAGCUAACAAAAUACAGGGGUGUGUUUUCGACGGAUGUAAACAAAGAUAAGAAAAGGCUAGAGACAAAACUGAAAAAGAAAGGGAAGAAGGCUGGUGUAAAAUGGGACUCAACAAAUGUUGAUUACCUGCGGACACUCAAGACUGCACAAGAGAAACUAAGACUUCAGAUACUGGAGACCCUUCAACAGACCACUGCAGAGAGGCUGUUUUUGUUAGAUUUAAUGAAAAAGUAUGCAAGAGGACAAGCUGUAGCCAUAAGAUUGGGCAAGCAACAAAAAGAUGAGAGAACAGCUGUCGUUGUACAAUGCGGUUGGCGGGGAAGUCGUUAAAAUGCCGACACAUUUGUCAUUUGAAGAUGUAAAGUCGUGCGACAGCAAGCUGUGGGACAUUUUGAAGUCAUCAGAUGUAGGUGCUUGGAGGACCAGUGUGCCUGUGUCUGUAAAACAGCAAGCUGUUCGCCUGUUUUGCAUGACACAGAGAGCUGCAGAAGAAAAGGAACUUUUGAUUUCAGAAAUGAAGUCAACAUUACAUUUCUUUUCCAAUGAACAUUCAGGUCUUUUAAACAAGGUCCUGGAUAAUGUUAAAGGAGACAUGCCAGUCAUCAUCAAAGAAGGGCUUUAUGUGGAAAUGAAAUUUAAUUCAUUACUGAAGGCAUUCCAGUCAUAUCUCCCAGACUUAACACCGACUUUGCUUUCUGAUUUUGCACAAAAGGUUGGUCUAACCAGCGUUCAAGAGGCUCGUAUUUCUGAAAUAAAUUAUGGAAACUUACAAGAAUACGAGUUAGAACCCUCUGAACCAACUGAUGUAAUACUCAGUGAUGAGGAUUUUACAGACAGUGAUAGUGACAAUGACUCUGAUGGUGACAAUUAAAUGUUCAAAAGACAUCAUUGACUCAAAAGCAAUAUUGUCUUAAUUGUCUCAAUUGAAUUGUUCGCAAUAAGUGUUCUAAGAUAAGACAAACAACUGUGCUAUGGCUUUUUAAAUGCUCUUGUUUGUAGCUCAACUGGUAGCUCAACUGAGCACAAUGUGAGCUUUUGUGAUUGCCUUUUGUCCGUCGUUGGUUGUAUAACACAAAAGCUCACAUUGUGCUCAGUUGAGCAAAAUCAGAAAGCAAAGUCAGGGUUUACUCUGGGAGAUCUGGGAGAUAUGACUGGAAUGCCUUCAGUAGUGAAUUACUUGAAUCACUUUCCAGCCAUAUCAGUAAAAAGGUGAUUGGCAUUUAUUUCGUAUUUAAAUUCGCUUUAUAUAUCGACUUUUCUCCCCGCAAAUUUUGUUAGUGGAGCCCAAAUUAGGUCAUCCCGCUAGGAAAUUUCGCAGCGAGUAAAGUCGAGAUAUAUAUAGAGCGAAUAUAACUAUGAAAUAAACGCCAGUAUCUUUCUUGCUAAUAUGGCUGGAAAGUGAGCGGAAUUUAAAAACUUAUGCUUUGUAAGCACACUUAUCGGCCACAUUUAUUGUUCGAUCUUUUUCAUCUUGUUAACUCAAUAUUUAUUGUCCACUACCGGUGAAACCGGGGGGGGGGGACUUAUUGUUUGCGCUCCGUGUGUCAGUCUGUCUGCGUGUGUCAGUCUGUCUUUCAGUCCGUCACACUUUUCUGGAUCCUGCGAUAACUUCAAAGUUCUUCAUAUUUUUUUAUGAAACUUGAAACGUGGACAGAUGGCUUAUAUGGAGAUUAUGCACGUCAAUUAAUUUUGUUCCUAUGUCAAAAAUUGUGGUUGCUAUGGCAACAAAUGUAAAAAAAAAAUUACUGACUGGUGGAGUUUUACCGGUAGGGGACCAUAUUGCUUGGCAAUCUCUUGUUCCAUAUAUACUGAAGUUGUUAUCCCCCGCCAUUGGCAGAGGGAUAUUGUUUUGGCAUUUUCCGUCCGUCCGUCCGGAGCCAUAUCUUGGAAGUACUUUGGCGGAUUUCAUUGAAACUUGGUAUGUGUAUAAAUAUGGAUAAGAGGAUGAUGCACGCCAAAUGGCAUUGUACACAAUCUGUUAAUAACGGAGUUAUGGCCCUUUGUAUCUUGAAAAAAUGCUUUUUUGUGUGUCCGGAGCCAUAUUUUGGAAGUGCUUUGGCCAAUAUCAUUGAAACUUGGUAUGAGUAUAUAUAUAUAUAUAUUAUAUAUAUAUAUGGAUAAGAGGAUGAUGCAUGUCAAAUGGCAUUGUACACCAUCUGUUAAUAAAGGAGUUAUUGCCCUUUUUAUCUUGGAAAAAAAUGCUUUUUUGAUUGUCAAAUAUAACACUUGUGUCCAGAAGCAUAUUGGCUGGGGGAUAUCAAUUCAACGAAUUUGCUCGUUAUAAACUCACAUUUCAAUGACAAUUUAUGAUAUCUGUUUUCCAGCUGUAUACUGUAUCAUAUGUAAAUCAUGAUUGUGUUGGUAUGCUUGUUUCUUUUUGUUUUUAAAUGCCCCAUGCUACAAAACAAAUUGAAUUGUUCAUGCUUAUAUACUUUUGCCUCAAGUAUUCUCAUAAGGUCAUUUGAAAUGAUGAAACAGUUGCUAUUUUACGAGAACAAUGAUCAGAAUAGAUCAUCUAUAAUUUUGUUGUGUAAAGAGGAUCGAUAAUUGGUUAAUUCUAACUUGUACUAAUACUCAUACCAAUAUUAAAACAUACAUUAAUCCAAAGGAUAAACCAUUCUAGAAUUUACAGAGAAAACUAUUCCUUAUAGAUUAUUUAUAAUUUCUUUGCGUAUAGGUGGUCGUAUACAGAAAUAAUUAAACUAACAAUCAUGUUCAGGUUGCUAUUAUCAUAAAUAUAUAUAUAAACUGACAAUCAUGUUCAGAUUACUAUUAUCACAAAUACAUGCAUAUAUAUAACAAUUUUAAAAGCAAUUGAUAUAUAUGUCUCAAAAGCUAUGUCCUUUUUACGUCCCAGUCUAUACUUGGGGACAUAUUAUAUUUGCCCUGUCUGUUUGUUGGUUUGUUUGCGUCAAACUUUAACAUUGGCCAUAACUUUUGCAAUAUUGAAGAUAGCAACUUGAUAUUUGGCAUGCAUGCGUAUCUCAUGGAGCUGCACAUUUUGAGUGGUGAUAGGUCAAGGUCAUCCUUCAAGGUCAAAGGUCAAAUAUAUGGGUGGGACCUAGUGUUUCACAAACAUAUCUUGUUUAGUAUAGACUUCAACAUAUCUUGGACAAUACAAUUUAAGAGCAAUUAAGAGGUUGAUGGUUCCACCCCUUUGCUUUUCUGUUGCUGAAAUGGUGUUAGUACAUACACCAAUCAAUUGUUGUUACACCGAUUUACCCUGUUAAUUUUUUUGUGUGUAUGGUGUCGCUUUGCUUCAGCUUGUUUUUGUGAUACUGUAGAUGUUGUUGAGUACUGAAAGGUAAUUAGUAAGGUAUGUAAAACUUAGCUUAACACUUAUGGACAAUGUUUUUGCAUAGUUUAAAUUGUAUGUAUGUUGAGUCAUGUUAUUAAUUGCUUGCAAUAAUUUUAUAUUGUGAAUCAAUGUAUGAAAAAUAAACCUGAAUGAAAUGAAAAUCA